rnacentral:rRNA from 1 species
CCUACGGGUGGCAGCAGUGGGGAAUAUUGGGCAAUGGGCGCAAGCCUGACCCAGCAACGCCGCGUGAAGGAAGAAGGCCCUCGGGUUGUAAACUUCUUUUGUCAGGGACGAAACAAAUGACGGUACCUGACGAAUAAGCCACGGCUAACUACGUGCCAGCAGCCGCGGUAAGACGUAGGUGGCAAGCGUUAUCCGGAUUUACGGGGUGUAAAGGGGGUGUAGGCGGGAGAGCAAGUCAGAUGUGAAAUUUCAGGGCUCAACCCUGGAACUGCAUUUGAAACUGUUUUUCUUGAGUGCUGGAGAGGCAGGCGGAAUUCCGUGUGUAGCGGUGAAAUGCGUAGAUAUACGGAGGAACACCAGUGGCGAAGGCGGCCUGCUGGACAUUAACUGACGCUGAGGCGCGAAGGCGUGGGGAGCAAACAGGAUUAGAUACCCCGGUAGUC